UACGGGGGGGGCAAGCGUUGAUCGGAAUUACUGGGCGUAAAGGGUGCGUAGGCGGUGUUCUAAGUCAGAUGUGAAAACUCUGGGCUCAACCCAGAGCCUGCAUCUAAAACUGGAGUGCUAGAGUUCUGGAGGGGGUAGCGGAAUUCCUGGUGUAGCGGUGAAAUGCGUAGAUAUCAGGAGGAACACCGGUGGCGAAGGCGGCUACCUGGACAGAAACUGACGCUGAGGCGCGAAAGCUAGGGGAGCAAACAGG
rnacentral:rRNA from 1 species